GAGACAGCAGUCGCCGCGGGAAUACGAAGGGGGCUAGCGUUGUUCGGAUUUACUGGGCGUAAAGCGCACGUAGGCGGAUUCUUAAGUUAGAGGUGAAAUCCCAAGGCUCAACCUUGGAACUGCCUUUGAUACUGGGGAUCUUGAGUCCGGGAGAGGUGAGUGGAACUGCGAGUGUAGAGGUGAAAUUCGUAGAUAUUCGCAAGAACACCAGUGGCGAAGGCGGCUCACUGGCCCGGAACUGACGCUGAGGUGCGAAAGCGUGGGGAGCAAACAGGAUUAGAUACCCCUGUAGUCCCUGUCUCUUAUAC
rnacentral:rRNA from 1 species